rnacentral:other from 1 species
GAAAUCCUGCUGUGUGCGUUUAUUCGAUCUCGUUUUGAGCCAACAUUUCGACAUUGGGAAUCUGGGUUUGUUGGUGGAUGAAAAGCCUCCAAUAGAGAGGACUUCAAAAGUCAGUAACAGGAUACCCACCUGCUAGAGGCAGGUUUCAAAACAAUCGAUAUACGGCAUGGCGGGACACUA